GCCCAAUAAAGACUCUUCUUGUGUCGGAGGGUCUGGUCUGGUUCUGUGUGGGUCUCAGCCCAGUCAUUUGGUGCUGAAAUCCGGGAGGGAUGCCAAGGCUCCAGCUGGUCCCUUCCAACUGGGGACCCCUCUCCAGGUCCACAAAUGUCCACCUCUGAAGCAGACUGCGAGCCCCAGACCUGCCACAUUGCCGACUUCUCCAUCCACACAUUGCUCCCUCCUAACCGGAUGUCGAUCAUACAAGGAGACACCUAAAGAGCCAAGUGGCUGGAAGUGCUGACAUCAUUCCCAGGACUUCUGGUGAGCACACAGUCAGACACAUAGAGCAAAUCUUCCCCAUUCGCAUGCCAAGGAACAGACAAGAGUGAAUGUCUCAAGUGCCUGCAGGCUUAAUCCAGGGAACCCUUGUCAUCAGAGCUGUGGCAUACCACUUGCUGUGCUGUGUGAAUGCCUCAUCACUGUUGAAUUACUGAGGGUAAGUUUCAAACUUCUGGAAGAAACAGUUGCUGUAUUUCAUAAAUCACAAAAACAAGAU
rnacentral:lncRNA from 1 species